rnacentral:rRNA from 1 species
GUACACUCCUGCGGGAGGCAGCAGUGGGGAAUUUUGGACAAUGGGCGAAAGCCUGAUCCAGCAAUGCCGCGUGAGUGAAGAAGGCCUUCGGGUUGUAAAGCUCUUUUGUCAGGGAAGAAACGGUGAAAGCUAAUAUCUUUUGCUAAUGACGGUACCUGAAGAAUAAGCACCGGCUAACUACGUGCCAGCAGCCGCGGUAAUACGUAGGGUGCAAGCGUUAAUCGGAAUUACUGGGCGUAAAGCGUGCGCAGGCGGUUUUGUAAGUCUGAUGUGAAAGCCCCGGGCUCAACCUGGGAAUUGCAUUGGAGACUGCAAGGCUAGAAUCUGGCAGAGGGGGGUAGAAUUCCACGUGUAGCAGUGAAAUGCGUAGAUAUGUGGAGGAACACCGAUGGCGAAGGCAGCCCCCUGGGUCAAGAUUGUCGCUCAUGCACGAAAGCGUGGGGAGCAAACAGGAUUAGAGACCCGGGUAGUCCCAUGAU